AUUGAACGCUGGCGGCAUGCCUUACACAUGCAAGUCGAACGGCAGCACGGGUGCUUGCACCUGGUGGCGAGUGGCGAACGGGUGAGUAAUACAUCGGAACAUGUCCUGUAGUGGGGGAUAGCCCGGCGAAAGCCGGAUUAAUACCGCAUACGAUCUACGGCUGAAAGCGGGGGCCCUUCGGGCCUCGCGCUAUAGGGUUGGCCGAUGGCUGAUUAGCUAGUUGGGGGGGUAAAGGCCUACCAAGGCGACGAUCAGUAGCUGGUCUGAGAGGACGACCAGCCACACUGGGACUGAGACACGGCCCAGACUCCUACGGGAGGCAGCAGUGGGGAAUUUUGGACAAUGGGCGAAAGCCUGAUCCAGCAAUGCCGCGUGUGUGAAGAAGGCCUUCGGGUUUUAAAGCACUUUUGUCCGGAAAGAAAUCCUUGGCCCUAAUACGGUCGGGGGAUGACGGUACCGGAAGAAUAAGCACCGGCUAACUACGUG
rnacentral:rRNA from 1 species